rnacentral:rRNA from 1 species
UACGGAGGGGGCUAGCGUUGUCCGGAAUUAUUGGGCGUAAAGGGCUCGUAGGCGGUUUGUCGCGUCGGGAGUGAAAACUCAGGGCUUAACCCUGAGCCUGCUUCCGAUACGGGCAGACUAGAGGUAUGCAGGGGAGAACGGAAUUCCUGGUGUAGCGGUGAAAUGCGCAGAUAUCAGGAGGAACACCGGUGGCGAAGGCGGUUCUCUGGGCAUUACCUGACGCUGAGGAGCGAAAGCGUGGGGAGCGAACAGG